GAAAUAUCAAGUUGCUAAUUAAUAUAGCACAUAAAACAAGAAGUUGUGCGCAGGAUCCAUUUCGUUUUCACAAUUAUACGAGUACGUUUUUGUCAGAAACGCGGAACAAGUAAUAUUUCCGGAGGGAUCCAGAAUACACGACGGAGCUACCGACAACAUCAAAUUAGACGAGUUUUGACAGUUAAAUCUAAAUCACCAUGACG